rnacentral:rRNA from 1 species
UACGAAGGGGGCUAGCGUUGUUCGGAAUUACUGGGGGUAAAGCGCGUGUAGGCGGGCCGUUAAGUCGGGGGUGAAAGCCCAGAGCUCAACUCUGGAAUUGCCUUCGAUACUGGCGGCCUGGAGCAUGAUAGAGGCGAGUGGAAUUGCGAGUGUAGAGGUGAAAUUGGUAGAUAUUCGCAGGAACGCCAGUGGCGAAGGCGGCUCGCUAGAUGAUUGUUGACGCUGAGACGCGAAAGCGUGUGGAGCAAACAGG